CGCUACAUCAUUCAAGGAAAUUCGUCGUAGAGGUCUUUCUCUUUACCAGAUUUCGUAGCUGAAGUUUAUGAAGUAAUCAAACCGGUGUUAACUUCUUAUAUAAAGGUAGAUUCCCAAACUUUGAAGAAACACUACAGUACUG